CUGACGAGUGGCGGACGGGUGAGUAACGCGUAGGAAUCUGCCCAGUAGUGGGGGACAACCCGGAGAAAUCCGGGCUAAUACCGCAUACGCCCUACGGGGGAAAGGAGGGGAUCUCUUCGGAGACCUUUCGCUAUUGGAUGAGCCUGCGUCGGAUUAGCUUGUUGGUAGGGUAACGGCCUACCAAGGCGACGAUCCGUAGCUGGUCUGAGAGGACGAUCAGCCACACUGGGACUGAGACACGGCCCAG
rnacentral:rRNA from 1 species